GAGGUUUCAAGAUGGCGGUAGCUGCGGGGUUGACUGAGAGACCGAGUUGAAGGCCCUUACGAAGUGAAAGAGGCCGAGAAUCGCCCCCCGCCCGCUUCUCGUAGUCCUGGGAGGACAGCAGAAGUGUUUUUCUUUUUUUAAUGAACAAGUAAACCAUAGAAAUUGUCAACAUGGGACGGAGAUCUACAUCAUCCACCAAGAGUGGAAAAUUUAUGAACCCCACAGACCAAGCCCGUAAGUGUCGAUUAGUGUGGAAUGAUGAAGUAGGAGAGCGUUAAAAAUUGCAAAUAUUAGGGAAUUUCUUUCUCUGUGGCUUAAUUACAAGACCAGCAGUGAUAGGAGGAAUAAAUUGUAUAUUCAGUAUUUGUAUGGGCACAUUAAGACUUUAAAUAUGCAAAGAAAUUAGUACCCAUAUUUUAUUUUUCAAAUUUGAUUGACUUGCAAAGUAGAAUAGGCUGAAAUCUUUCUUUUUAUAUUUGAAUUGAGCAAAUUAGUUUUGCGAGCCCUUGUUUCGCAUUUUAUAUUAUGUUUUUCCUUCAGAUUCAUAGUUG
rnacentral:sRNA from 1 species